ACUAGAGUAGCACUCGCAAUCAAUAAGCGGAGGAAAAGAAACUAACAAGGAUUCCCUUAGUAACGGCGAGUGAAGCGGGAAGAGCUCAAAUUUGAAAUCUUCAAGGUUCUACCUUGACGAAUUGUAGUUUAAAGAAGUGUUUUCUGUUGGAGUUUUGGUAAAAGUUCUUUGGAAUAGGACAUCAUAGAGGGUGAGAAUCCCGUAUUUGACCAUUAUUUUCAGCUGUGUGAUACACUUUCAAAGAGUCGGAUUGUUUGGGAAUGCAGUCCAAAAUGGGUGGUAAAUUUCAUCUAAAGCUAAAUAUUGGCGAGAGACCGAUAGCGAACAAGUACCGUGAGGGAAAGAUGAAAAGAACUUUGAAAAGAGAGUUAAACAGUACGUGAAAUUGUCAAAAGGGAAGCGUUUGACACCAGUGUUGUUUUCUCGAAAAUCAAUUAAAAAUGGCGGGAUUUUGUGUUGUAUUGACUUUAUCAGCUUUCUGCACUUUUUUCCUGUCUUUUUUAAUGCACUUUUCGUUUAACAAGUCAACAUCAAUUUCUUUUGUUGUAAAAGGGUCAUUGGAAGGUGGCUUUCUUUUCGGAGAAAGUGUUUAUAGCCUUUGAUCUCUGCAACCGGAGAGACUGAGGUCUGCAGCGUAGACUCUUCGGGGUUAAAUACAUUUGUGCUAAGCUAUAGCUUUUCAUAGACAACUUGUUGACUAUGUUUAGUCUUGUAGCUUACUCGCUUACGCUAUUUUACCUACGCUUAGGAUGUUGAUAGUCACAGCGUGUAC
rnacentral:rRNA from 1 species